rnacentral:rRNA from 1 species
CCCUAUUAUUUUAAAUGUGAUUUUUGGCUAUAAUUACUAAUAGUUAUGUUCUUUAAAAUUAAAAAUUUUGGCGGUAUUUUAGUCUUUUCAGAGGAACCUGUUUUUUAAUCGAUAGUCCACGAUAAUUUUUACUUGAGCUUUAAAUUUAUAUAUCGUCGUUUAUAAAGAUUUUAUUAGAAUUUAAAUUUUUAAUAUUUUUUAUUUAACAUUAAUUCAGAUCAAGGUGUAGUUUAUGCUUUAGUUAAAAUGGGUUACAUUAAAUUUAUUUUUGGUAUUUUAGUUUAAAAUUUUAAUUAAAUUGGAUUUGAAAGUAAUGAUUUUUAUUUAUUAAUCAUGAUUAAGCUCUAAAAUAUGCACACAUCGCC